rnacentral:rRNA from 1 species
CCUACGGGAGGCAGCAGUAAGGAAUAUUGGACAAUGCUCGCAAGAGUGAUCCAGCCAUGCCGCGUGCAGGAAGAAUGCCCUAUGGGUAGUAAACUGCUUUUGAACUAGAGAAAACCCCAGUACGUGUACUGGGCUGAUAGUAUAGUUAGAAUAAGCAUCGGCUAACUUCGUGCCAGCAGCCGCGGUAAGACGAAGGAUGCAAGCGUUAUCCGGAUUCAUUGGGUUUAAAGGGAGCGUAGGUGGACUGAUAAGUCAGUGGUGAAAUCUCCGAGCUUAACUCGGAAAUUGCCAUUGACACUGUUGGUCUUGAGUACAGUUGCUGUGGGCGGAAUAUGACAUGUAGUGGUGAAAUACAUAGAGAUGUCAUAGAACACCGAUUGCGAAGGCAGCUCACAAAGCUGUAACUGACACUGAGGCUCGAAAGUGCGGGGGAUCAAACAGGAUUAGAUACCCUGGUAGUCCGCACCGUAAACGAUGAUUACUCGCUGCUAGGGGCAACCUUUAGUGCUUAGCGAAGCGANAAGUAAUCCACCUGGGAGUACGCCGGCGACGGUGAACGUUAAAUGAAUUGACGG